rnacentral:rRNA from 1 species
UACGUAGGGCGCAAGCGUUAUCCGGAAUUAUUGGGCGUAAAGAGCUCGUAGGCGGUGUGUCGCGUCGGCCGUGAAAACCUGCAGCUUAACUGUGGGCUUGCGGUCGAUACGGGCAUCACUGGAGUUCGGCAGGGGAGACUGGAAUUCCUGGUGUAGCGGUGAAAUGCGCAGAUAUCAGGAGGAACACCGGUGGCGAAGGCGGGUCUCUGGGCCGAUACUAACGCUGAGGAGCGAAAGCGUGGGGAGCGAACAGG